rnacentral:tRNA from 1 species
UAAGGGGGAAGCACCUCAGUUACGUUGAGGUCAACCCAAAGGGCCCCUUAU